rnacentral:rRNA from 1 species
GACGAACGCUGGCGGCGUGCCUAAUACAUGCAAGUCGAGCGCAGGAAAUCAUCCGAACCCUUCGGGGGACGUUGAUGGAAUGAGCGGCGGACGGGUGAGUAACACGUAAAGAACCUGCCCUCAGGUCUGGGAUAACCACGAGAAAUCGGGGCUAAUACCGGAUGGGUCAUCGGACCGCAUGGUCCGAGGAUGAAAGGCGCUUCGGCGUCGCCCGGGGAUGGCUUUGCGGUGCAUUAGCUAGUUGGUGGGGUAAUGGCCCACCAAGGCGACGAUGCAUAGCCGACCUGAGAGGGUGAUCGGCCACACUGGGACUGAGACACGGCCCAGACUCCUACGGGAGGCAGCAGUAGGGAAUCUUCCACAAUGGACGAAAGUCUGAUGGAGCAACGCCGCGUGAACGAUGAAGGCUUUCGGGUCGUAAAGUUCUGUUGUAAGGGAAGAACAAGUGCCGCAGGCAAUGGCGGCACCUUGACGGUACCUUGCGAGAAAGCCACGGCUAACUACGUGCCAGCCGCCGCAGUAAUAC